rnacentral:sRNA from 1 species
UUUUUUUUUCAAAUUGUAUCUAUCUAUAAUAUAUUUUUAUUUUAUAGUUUACAAUUGUUAUUAAGUAACGUCCUGCCAAACCCGUCCCGCCAAACCCGUCCCGUAAAAAAACCAUUUAUUUAUAUUAAUGUUGAUCUUAUUUAUGAUAUGUUUAUAAAUCAUUGUCUAUAUAUUUUUGUCGAUGCGGGACGUUGAACCCACACAUUUUUUGCCAAUUGGUUAAUAUAUAUUCAUUUUUAAAAUUUUGAAUCAUAAAAUAUGACGGAAAAAAUUAAGAUUUUUUUAAACUCUA